CAGCUCUAGACUUUACCUCUCUCUUAAAUGUGAUUCAAUCUUGAUUUACUUUUAUUCUAAACAAGUUCAAAUGCCAUAUGUUGCAGUUUUUAACAGAAAAGCCUUUUGCAGCAAUGGAUGAUCAUAUAGUGGAUGACCUUCUGAUAAAGGGGCUGCAUAUGAGCAACCUAUCUACCCUGAGCAAGAAGUUACUUGACAUAUUGAGAUUGGGCCAGACCUGACAUGCUUUCGAUUAUUCUCCUUCCUUGGAAACAUUUUAUUUUUUGAUAAGGGGCUUAUUGCAAUGGGAAAUGUAAGUAUUCCUUUCUCAGUCAUUUCCUUAUUUUCUGAUGAGCUGGUUGGUGGUCUUUUGUUGGAAUGAUUGUGUUUUGGUUCCUUUUCCACGAGGGCGAUGUUGAAGAUUUCAAGAACCUGAAUGCAGGUUAUGACUAGGUCAUGAGGUGUCGCAAUGCUUGACCUAUUCUGGGAUUGUCCAUUAUGUGGUGUUUAAAAAGCUGAUCUCGUGUGGAUUUUAUGGUAAAGAUUACAAUAAAUUUAUGUUAUCUCGGCAGUAUUAACUUCUACAGUACAGUACAAAGCCAGAAGUCACCGAUGGCCUGCUCCCUUUAGUGGAAGGGGAAUAUGUUUGAUGAAGACGGAUAGGCAUUGUGUGGAGGCAUAGAUGUGGACACCCGAGCCAUUCGCGGUGCCGACACAGUCAUCCUCGCCCUUGGCGAGCACGAGGCAUUGCUAAACCACCUGACUGAGACACCUAGGACCCAAAAAAGAACUACCACCGACGGUUACUGGAUUACUGAAUUAACUAUUUUGAUGUGUAUUUACGAUAUACUCAAGUGGAUAUGACUGCGUUGAGUCAGAUGAAAGAAAUCAACCUUAAAGAUAUAGGCACAUGGUUAAUGGGAUGGUUAGUGAUUACUGUUUCAUUACUUAAUUUUGUUACCUCUUAUGCCCAGUGAGAUAGUGCUGAUUUUUUUUUACUGUUACACUUUACUGGUUGCUGUGAUUUUGGAUGUGAGGUAAGAAGGCCUAUGAAUAUGAUAUGAUCACGGCGUAUGUGUUUCUAUCUGCAAGGAACCAUUCUCUCAUGGUGGGAAGUGCAUUUAUCCUAUAUCCUUGUGUUUGUUAUGAUUGGAAGUUAAAGAAUAGGAGGUAUGCCCUGUGACUCUGUGAGGAAAGCAUGUGUUAAUUUUUUUUAUCAGUAACUAAACACCGCCUCCUGAAAAUUAAAGGAUUGGUGCAAAUGGGUAACUAAUACAUAUAAGUUAUUUUUCAAUAACCACUAUUUCUACCUCUUGAUUAGAUAUUGUUUUCUGAAGAUUUAUUGUCAACACUGCCGAAAUAAGUGCUGGACUGAACAUUUUAGCUGUCCCCAAGACUGAGCCACGGUUGUGUUGCGCAUCCCCGUCUUUGCAGCUUUGGAUCCUCCUCCCCCACAUCUGUAUAGUUUCAGAAAAAUUCAGAUCUUGCACUAGCAUAAGGAAAACAUGCAUGUUCUGUACUGUGUGCUUGCAGCUCUCGGUAAGGGCCACAUCUGUAUGAUUUUGCUGCCUCACUAUCUCCUUCUUGGCCUAGGAAAGAAGAGUGCGGCAGACAGCUUCUUAAAUUAACUUUCCAGUUUAUUGUUGUCUACUAUAAAGCCUUGGCCCAGUGGUAAAGUUGCUGCCUUGUGACCAAGAGGUCACGGGUUGAAGUCGUGGAAACAGCCUCUUGCAAAAAAUUGCAAGGAAAUGCUGCGUACAAUGACCUAAUGUUGUCUCUUGUGAGAGGAUGUUCUAGAUCUCUUAGAGAUAGAUGUAUCAGAAGAUAAUAUAUAGUGAACGAGAUGUAGUUGCAAGUACAAAAUAUUACACAUGUUAACAUUGUAGUGUAGGAAUUGCAUGGUUUUUGAGUCGCUGUAUAGUCGCUGAAUAGUCGAUGUAUAGUCGCUGAGUCGUUUUUCAAAAAUCACGGCGACUCGCGACUAUACAUCGACUUAUGGUGACUAUACAGCGACUUUGGUCGACUAUACACUGAGUCGCAGCCUCAGCGACUUGACUUGACUCGGCGACUCAAAAACCAUGAGGAAUUGUAUGUUUUAUUGACUUUUGUAAUAACCUAGAUAAUAUUGUAAUGCACAUUGGUUGCAGACCAUUUUAUUCCAGUCAAAUCCAUUCUUCACGCCAUACUCCAGCUAUGGUUGCUUCUUCUUCACGGGUUUCUCCUGAAUUAACCAUACCUCAAGACGCCACCAUCAGUCUUGAAUUCCGCUAGAGGACCACCCGUGCAUGUGAAAUUUUCGGAUAGGAAGAUAGCACCAUUUGUGUAUUUUCCUUUACUUUUUAUUAAAAGGUACCUUCUUGUGGACCAAUUUUAUGGGGUCGGUAUCAUUGACACCUAGCCGGCUCCCUUCAAUUAGAAUCAGCUGAAGAAAUACAAUGUUUUUUAGAGGGGUUAUUCAUUCAUGGAUUAGAAAAGUCAAGAAUCGCUACACUGUUCGUCUUCUUAAAUACAUUUACAUAGUAUGUUGCAUAAAGCUCUAAAAAUACAGUUCAUCUAAUCCAUUCACAUCAAUAUCAGAUGUCAUUUUAGGCUUUUUGCUUGCUUUUUUCACCUAAUUAUUGAUGAGUGCUGAUACGGAGAAAAAUGCAGAUUUUCAUUACUUUCACUAAUAUGAUUCCCCUUUCGGUCACUGGCGCCACUAUUCUGACACUAUGUUUGGUCAUUUUUUAGGUUAACACAUCUGUUGAGGCCACCUUCAAAUCUUGAUAGCUUAGUACAACCUGACUCCUGCUGCAACUCUCAAUUGCUUGUUUUCUCCAAUUAGUUUCCUUGAUCACAGGAGUAUAUUGAACCUGGUGGAUGGUUAACACGUCACUGGCUUUCCGUGUACUUUUACUUUCUGAGGACAUACUCCUGUUGUCAACUAGGAAAAGGGUUGAACCAUAACCUAUAAAGCCCUAAAAUUUCUAACGCUUGUACAAAAUGAAAUGAUGCGUUUCCUUUGCCUUUAAACCAUGGAAAGAUAAGUAAAAUUAUUUAGCGAUCCCCGUUUGUAGAACUAAA